CCUUGAUCCUGUCGAUUCCUGAUGAGAUGGAAGAUGCUUUAUUAAUACACCAGAUUUCAUCUUUGGCCGAUGGUGUUAGAGGAGCUUAUCAGGUCAUCCUCCCUCUUCUCUUCCAUGGCUGCUGCAUGCGAUCCUGCUUUUGAUCUCUCUCGCCUAACUUGAUCCUGUCGACUCCUGAUGAGAUGGAUGAUGCUUUAUCAAUACACCGGAUUUCAUUUUUGGCUGAUGGUGGUAGAGGAGCUUAUCAGGUCAUCCUCCCUC
rnacentral:misc_RNA from 1 species